GAUGAAGAACGCAGCAAAAUGCGAUAAGUAAUGUGAAUUGCAGAAUUCAGUGAAUCAUCGAAUCUUUGAACGCACAUUGCGCCCGCUGGUAUUCCGGCGGGCAUGCCUGUUCGAGCGUCAUUUCAACCCUCAAGCCCCCGGGUUUGGUGUUGGGGAUCGGCUCUGCCCUUCUGGGCGGUGCCGCCCCCGUAAUACAUUGGCGGUCUCGCUGCAGCCUCCAUUGCGUAGUAGCUAACACCUCGCAACUGGAACGCGGCGCGGCCAUGCCGUAAAACCCCAACUUCUGAAUGUUGACCUCGGAUCAGGUAGGAAUACCCGCUGAACUUAAGCAUAUCAAUAAGCGGAGGA
rnacentral:misc_RNA from 1 species